AUUGGACGCUGGCGGCAGGCCUAACACAUGCAAGUCGAGCGGAUGAAGGGAGCUUGCUCCUGGAUUCAGCGGCGGACGGGUGAGUAAUGCCUAGGAAUCUGCCUGGUAGUGGGGAAUAACGUCCGGAAACGGGCGCUAAUACCGCAUACGUCCUGAGGGAGAAAGUGGGGGAUCUUCGGACCUCACGCUAUCAGAUGAGCCUAGGUCGGAUUAGCUAGUUGGUGGGGUAAAGGCCUACCAAGGCGACGAUCCGUAACUGGUCUGAGAGGAUGAUCAGUCACACUGGAACUGAGACACGGUCCAGACUCCUACGGGAGGCAGCAGUGGGGAAUAUUGGACAAUGGGCGAAAGCCUGAUCCAGCCAAGCCGCGUGUGUGAAGAAGGUCUUCGGAUUGUAAAGCACUUUAAGUUGGGAGGAAGGGCAGUAAGUUAAUACCUUGCUGUUUUGACGUUACCAACAGAAUAAGCACCGGCUAACUUCGUG
rnacentral:rRNA from 1 species